rnacentral:tRNA from 1 species
UCCCUGAUGGUCUAGCGGCUAGGAUUCGGUGCUGUCACCGCUGCGGCCUGGGUUUGUUUCCCGGUCAGGGAA